rnacentral:rRNA from 1 species
UACGUAGGGUGCGAGCGUUGUCCGGAAUUAUUGGGCGUAAAGAGCUUGUAGGCGGUUUGUCGCGUCUGCUGUGAAAAUCCGGGGCUCAACCCCGGACUUGCAGUGGGUACGGGCAGACUAGAGUGUGGUAGGGGAGACUGGAAUUCCUGGUGUAGCGGUGAAAUGCGCAGAUAUCAGGAGGAACACCGGUGGCGAAGGCGGGUCUCUGGGCCGUUACUGACGCUGAGGAGCGAAAGCGUGGGGAGCGAACAGG